AUUAGCCUCAGCGCGCCAUAGUGACGUCAAAACCACGCGCCGCCAAAAAAAACUUCACAAUAAAAGUGAAGAGCAUGGAUCUAUUAAAAUAACGUUUUAACUCUCAAGUUUGUACCAUGGAGGAUCUAUUAAAAUAAGUAGUAUGAGAAGUAUAGAUCCAUGUUUGUAUCAUGGAUCUAUAAUAACAACACUGAAGAAAAAAUUUCCAGGGCUGUCCGGCUGCGGUCCGAAGACGUCCCCAUCCCCACAGACACGGCAGUUUGUGGUUGGCCUUCAUCACAGCCACACUGGUGCACGAGUCAGGCUUUCGGAUGAUCUCGCACCAGUCCGGAUAGUCCACAGGCUUUGACCCACUGAGGAGGAAAGAGCAGCUGAACUGGCCACCGUUUGACCCCCGCUGCAGAUAAAAGCCCACUACAUUUGAGGGGGCACUGACCAGUGGCCUAUUGUCCAAGCACAGAUCUGACCUGGAACAUCACCUGCUUAUCACAGGUAGAUUUAAUUCCAUGCUGUAGGACAUUAUUGGGAAAGGAAUGUGACUAGAAGGUAACGGACUCUCCACGGAAAAAGUUACACAGUGCACCUUUAAGACUUGCCGUGUGUUAGUGUCAGUAACUCCUGGAUAACUCCAUGGAUUCACAGUUGUCAUGUAGCUGAGUGCGCCACCACCUCUGGACUGCAUUCCCGCCUGUCCCCUCUCCCUUUCAGGGUUGACCUUGUGGGACUACUGGGGCAGAAUAAUGGCUUGUGAUUGCCUUUGAGCCUGGAGGGAGCAUUUGCCCGGGACAGUCCAACAGAUGGGGUGGCAGUAUUGGCUUCAAUAGCGUGAAAGGGGACAAUUCAUUUAAAUGUUUUCAUUAAAAUGUUCAGAAAUUACAGAAAAAAUAACUGCACAAGAAUAUUUUCAUCUAGCAUGACUUAUUUUGGUGGAUUUGUUUUUUAACUUGACAAAUUUAUCAUAUUUGACUAGUUUCUUUACACUUUGUAUUACCAAUGAAGCAAACAUGGCAGUUGGCUUAUGAAAUGUAAAUACAACUUACUCAAAGUGCUCAUAUUAAGAUAAAUUAUUUUAUUCACAAUUAGUUUGAAUUGUUUUCAUUCAUUGAC